rnacentral:rRNA from 1 species
GAUGAACGCUGGCGGCGUGCCUAAUACAUGCCAGUAGAACGCUGAAGGAGGAGCUUGCUCUUCUGGAUGAGUUGCGAACGGGUGAGUAACGCGUAGGUAACCUGCCUGGUAGCGGGGGAUAACUAUUGGAAACGAUAGCUAAUACCGCAUGACAACAGUUAUUGCAUGAUAACUGUUUAAAAGGGGCAACUGCUCCACUACCAGAUGGACCUGCGUUGUAUUAGCUAGUUGGUGAGGUAACGGCUCACCAAGGCGACGAUACAUAGCCGACCUGAGAGGGUGAUCGGCCACACUGGGACUGAGACACGGCCCAGACUCCUACGGGAGGCAGCAGUAGGGAAUCUUCGGCAAUGGACGGAAGGCUGACCGAGCAACGCCGCGGGAGGGAAGAAGGUUUUCGGAUCGUAAAGCUCGGUUGUAAGAGAAGAACGAGGGUGAGAGUGGAAAGUUCACACUGUGACGGUAUCUUACCAGAAAGGGACGGCCAACUACGUG